UACGAAGGGGGCUAGCGUUGUUCGGAAUUACUGGGCGUAAAGCGCACGUAGGCGGGUCGUUAAGUCAGAGGUGAAAUCCCGGAGCUCAACUCCGGAACUGCCUUUGAUACUGGCGAUCUAGAGGUCGAGAGAGGUGAGUGGAAUUCCGAGUGUAGAGGUGAAAUUCGUAGAUAUUCGGAAGAACACCAGUGGCGAAGGCGGCUAACUGGUCCGGUACUGACGCUGAGGUGCGAAAGCGUGGGGAGCAAACAGG
rnacentral:rRNA from 1 species